UGUAUCUUUCUAUCAUAUAUGAGGAUGUAGUAACAGUAGAUAUCCAGAAGUUGGGUGAGAUUAUCUUGGAGGAAACUUUCAGCUCUAUGAUUCUACGACAGAGAUGGAUAAUAAUUUGCUAGAGAACAGGAGGACUACUGCAGCCCACUCAAUUUAUGCUCCCCAUUAUCCAGCAUUUUGAUUUUUCAACAAUAAUUAUUGGGGGUUGGCCAUGAACUGCCCUGCGCUAUGUCAUUUAUUGACCCCCCCCCCCCAAAAUGUGGGUGUGCAUGAUCGACUGGUGUUUUUUCAUUAUUUCACCUUGGGGAAUUUAAAAAGAAUGAAAUCAGUGUGGAUUAUAGCUGUCUAGAAAAGUAAGAAGUUACAAUUAAAGUUCACAGUUGUUGCUGUUAAAGAGGAUCCUUGAAAAUAAUGUUUAGUGUUUAACCACCAUCUGAAUCUACUUUAUAGGGGGAAAUAUCAGUUCCAAUAAUAUACCAUCAGAGAUAUGAAGAUAUGCUCACUUUCUUCAUUUGUAGAAUUAUCUUAUUUUCCUCAAAAUAACCUGUAACAGGUUCUAGGAAAAAUAUAAGAUGCCUUUCAAAAACUGAUACCCAUAUUGCAGCAAAAGCAGACUGGGGUGCUGUAUGCUGCCCGUAAGUAGCACCUUUUUCACCCAAGACAUGUGCUGUCUCAUCUAUUGAUUAACCCCAUUUAAUUCUAUCCACUUAUUCCUGUCUUUCAUUCAAAUUAUCUAAGAAAAUAAGCAUGUAGAAAGUUGAGGAUGUGUGUCGCUUAGCUACGUCUCCAUGGCUACAUCUCCCAAUGCUGGCCUCUCAAAAAUACACCUUGUUAACAUCUCAGCUCACCCACAACAGGCAUCUGCAGAGACCUCUGGCAGUUCUGCAAGCUCUCUGCAGAUGGCAUCUUUGUAGUACAUCCAGCUACAGGAAAAUAGCCAGAUGCAUCCACACUAAUCCCACUCACUUCUCCCUCCUAAUAUGGGUUUCUCUGCUGUGCUGUUUGCAAGGUUAUGGGUUACAACUUUCACGACCACUGACUAUACUGAUUGGAGCUACUAAAAAGAUAGGAUGGAAAGAUGGCUUGUUUCAAUAAGGAAUUCACUACUCUUCAAAAUCUACUCAGCCCAUCCCCUUCUGGAUGUUUUAAAGAAGAACUGAGGUCCAGUAUGCAUGCAGUGAUCCUCACCUCUACAAAUAUCAUAUUCACACCUUCAGGUUGUAAAAACUGAGGCAUUUACAAUGAAAUAGGAAGAACAAAAGGCAAUGUGACAUUUGCUGAACUUGUAUCAACCACAGGAUUUUGUCAACAAAGUUCUUUACAGCAGAAAGUGGGCUGAGUAUAAAAGUCACUUAACCAUUCAAGAUAGUUAAACUGCAUGACACUGUGAUGAUACAAUGGUGGCAGAGAAGUAUGUUUUCUUUGCUGCCAACUUCACUAUGGCAUAAAGUUUUCAAUGGGUUCUAGCCCAUGUUUGGUUGGACCAGCUUCCAGUUUGCCACUACGGAUUCUGUUGUCUCAGUUCUACUUAUUUCAGCACUGUGUACAGAACAGGGUGAGAUUAAGCCAUGCAGCUUCAUCCGGGUAGAUCUCUGUAAUACCAGGAUGGUUGGCAUGCCAUGCCAAAAGCACAGCCCAAAUUCUUCUUAACUGUCUUUCAGAACUCCAAUUUUGAAUGUCUUUAUAUGUGAAAAGAAAAAUAGUAAAAUUAUUUCUUCUUGCCUUUGAGAAGGAAAUUUCCAAGAGAUUUACAUCCCUAGACAUGUCACUGACAGUAUAAAGCGCAAACACCCGCCACACAGCCAUUGUUUGUUGUAGAUCUGUCUGUAAGUUUAAAUAAAUGUAGCCCUUGUCUAACCCAUUUACCUGUGCUUUGCUUCCAUUCUGUGGCUUUCAAAGACGGUUUAAUUUGAAUGUAUUUCUCUUCUUGUUAACUGUAUUUUAUAAGAUCCAGUUUCCAUUUUAUAGCAGCCGGAAUUAUAUAAACUCACUGCUUUUGGUGA